UAUAUAUUUUAAUUUUCGUGUUUUCGUUUUUCCAUUUGCAAAUAUAUUUUCGUGUCAAACUUAUUUCUCAAGCUUAUUUCCUGCCAUGGAUCUGUGGGUUGGAUUUUAUUUCUUUUAAAUUACCACCCUAAUUAUAGUUCUCCAAUGAUAUGAAAUGUGUACUACAUUUUAGUUCGACUUGUAUCUAACAGUCAUCCCUGUUACCCCCAAUUUUUUAGUUAAUUCAUACAACUGAUUAUUAUUCUAUAAUUUCUAUUAACUAUUUAUAUAUGUUAUUUUGUGUCAUCCAGGAAACAAGUGAUCCAUAUGUUGUCAUACAACUGGAUUCUCAUACGGCUAAAAGCGAUAUCAAAUGGGGGACAAAAAAAAGGCAUCAUUUAAUAUCAAGCAGCCUCCAAACCAAUAUUUACAGGUUAACAAGCAUGAUCACUCUUUCUCACUUACAUUUAUGGAGCAUUAUACAUGAGCUUGGGUUGGAGGUGGCUUUAAUUUGAAGAAAUGGUAANUAUUGGGCGCUGUAAAUAAAUAUUGGGAGGCAUCUAGAUUAAUUCAUGGCUNAGGUAUAAAUUUUAAAAUUAUGCAUCAUAUACUUUGACUUGAUUUUUGCUAUUAAUGGAAUCAAAAGGAGUUUCAAGUUCGUUUACCUUUCACUCAAUUCAGUACUUUCUUUGCUUCCGAAUGCAUACUUGUUAGUUGUCACAUUCAUGUUGAUGACCAAUUUGUUUUCCCCUAAUUCUAUUACAACAUUUUUGGCAAGAGACUAUUAUGAUAUUCUUGGUGUGAGUAAGAAAGCACGUUCUUCCGAAAUAAAGAAAGCUUACUAUGGGGUAAGUUUUCCCUUGUCAUUGCCAUUGUCAGUGAACUAUUAAUGGUUUCUAAAUUUUUUCUGAGAUUUGUGGUUCAAUUUGAUUGUUUUUUUUAUCCCCUGAUUCUAAGCCAUCAUAUGUUAGAGAACUUCUAAUGAUUUUUAAAAUUUU